AACGAACGCUGGCGGCAGGCCUAACACAUGCAAGUCGAGCGAGAUCUUCGGGUCUAGCGGCGGACGGGUGAGUAACGCGUGGGAAUAUGCCUCUUGGUACGGAAUAGCCUCGGGAAACUGGGAGUAAUACCGUAUGUGCCCUUUGGGGGAAAGAUUUAUCGCCAAGAGAUUAGCCCGCGUUGGAUUAGGUAGUUGGUGGGGUAAUGGCCUACCAAGCCGACGAUCCAUAGCUGGUUUGAGAGGAUGAUCAGCCACACUGGGACUGAGACACAGCCCAGACUCCUACGGGAGGCAGCAGUGGGGAAUCUUAGACAAUGGGGGCAACCCUGAUCUAGCCAUGCCGCGUGAGUGAUGAAGGCCUUAGGGUUGUAAAGCUCUUUCAGCUGGGAAGAUAAUGACGGUACCAGCAGAAGAAGCCCCGGCUAACUCCG
rnacentral:rRNA from 1 species